rnacentral:ncRNA from 2 species
AAAUUCAAUAUUGUUUUUGUUUUCAGGAUUAUUUAUGGAUUUUUCCAUGAAUGGGGAAGCAGGUUAAAAUCCUGCGCAGUACCCGCUGCUGUAAGGGAAUAGUAGUACUUCAUUAUGUCACUGUGAAUAAUGGGAAGACGAAGUACUAUGUUUGACGCCUAAGCCAGAACACCCGACUGAAAACGAAUUUACGA